rnacentral:rRNA from 1 species
AUUGAACGCUGGCGGCAUGCCUUACACAUGCAAGUCGAACGGCAGCACGGGAGCAAUCCUGGUGGCGAGUGGCGAACGGGUGAGUAAUAUAUCGGAACGUGCCCAGUCGUGGGGAUAACGUAGCGAAAGCUACGCUAAUACCGCAUACGAUCUACGGAUGAAAGCGGGGGAUCGCAAGACCUCGCGCGAUUGGAGCGGCCGAUAUCAGAUUAGGUAGUUGGUGAGGUAAAGGCUCACCAAGCGACGAUCUGUAGCUGGUCUGAGAGACGACCAGCCACACU